AAUGAGUAACAGUUAGCCUACUAUCGUCACAUUCUGUGACAACGGUAACUGACCUGCAUCAUGCAGA
rnacentral:sRNA from 1 species